CAGCCACUUCAGGUACCAGAUACCAUGUUUUCGCGGUGGAAACGCAAAAAAGGCGAGCUGAGUCGAGUCGUGUCGAGCUGGUACCAUGCAGUGGAAAAGCGGCAUUAGUUUAUGGGGGCCAUUUCUAAGGUGAAUGAAGCCUGGGGGGGCAUGAGGGUGGAAUCAAUUUUUUGAUUCAGUUUGGUUGACUGCACCGUCAAACGUGAAUGUUAUCUCAUCAAGUGUGUGUGUGUGUGUGUGUGUGUGUGUGUGUGUGUGUGUGUGUGUGUGUGUGUGUGUGUGUGUGUGUGUGUGUGUGUGUGUGUGUGUGUGUGUGUGUGUGUGUGUGUGUGUGUGUGUGUGUGUGUGUGUGUGUGUGUGUGUGUGUGUGUGUGUGUGUGUGUGUGUGUGUGUUUCACACAUUUGUCCAUGUCUAUCCCUUGUGUAUGUGUCAGAGGGAGAAAGGGAGAGGGAUAAAGGGAGGGAGGGAGGGAGAGCCGGCCCACUUAAAAGAGAGAGCUUGGGCAGACAGCCCUAUUAUGUCCUCGUUUGGUUGUAAUUGCCUAACAAAUGUUGGAUGAGUGGAUAGGGAAAGGAGAAAGACAGGAAAAGAGGGAGAAAAGGGAUAGGAUUGGGAGGCAGGGGGAACGGGAGGGGGUGUGGGGUUGACAUGCAAAAUGGAGACAAAUCAUGCCAUUUGUGUAGGUCAGAGCCAUUUUCUAGCCUCAUCACAUGAAAUGGAAAAGGCUUUUUGUGCCGCAGCCAGGCGUCCAGACCGGCCGUGCAGGAGAGUAAUGACACCAGACGGAUCUCUGAUGCCAGCAGAGUCCUGUUUCACUGCUGCACACGGGCUGCAAAUGGACGUUUGCUCUUACACUAAAACAGCAUACUACUCUUCCCCCCCCCCCCCCCCCCCCCCACUGCUAUAACAUUCAUGAUUCGAGGAAAACGCACACUUAUUAUUUUGUUGAAGGCUGAAUAAAAUAAUGGUUGUUCAUUCGCCAGACAGCGAAUGAACAACCCAAUGUGUAUGAUUCCAUUAUUAUUAUUUUGUGUUGCUGUUCUCAUUACAGCAGACCUCUGCUCAUCCAAUGAAAUGGGAUUAUGUGAUGACAUCAUUGUCUGAUGACACACCUCAAUCAGAGACCAGAUCUCCCCCCCCCAAUGGCCAUGGCUACGAUGGGGCCCAGCGGGGGGGUUGGCCACAACAAACGUGGUUAGACUAACUCAUUUACAAAGAGGGAGAAAGACACAAACAAAAAAAGAUGUUUUCUUAGGAAGAGAAGCGACGGUUGCUACAGUUUCACAUCGACUCGGCCAUCUUGCUUUGGGUUUUACAGUCGGCUUAGGCUAUAUUGUCUACAUAUUGGCAGAUAUUACACAUGAUGAGAUGGGCAAGCCUAUAGAAAUGGAAGGACGUGUACGGCCCGAUAAUGAUAUAAAAUAUAUAAAUAGGGUCCAACCUUAUUAUUUUACAUUGGUGAACAUUUUUGGAGCUGAACCUGAAACCAGCCAAUCACCUUCCUUGCCCCGCCGCCGGCUUCCUCCUACAGUGGAGGAUGACGGAGACUCCUACAGCCCUCCCCACCCACCACCACAAAGAGGGAAACUUUUCCUUUGAGCGGCCUCUGAGAAUAGCAUUCUUCAAACGACCUGGCCCUCUGCUUUUAAACACGGCUCCUCUCCACCGGCCCAUCGAUCGCUCGCUGGCUUGAAUAGAACUCACUCAAGCGCAGGCCUCUAGGUGUGUGUGUGUGUGUGUGUGUGUGUGUGUGUGUGUGUGUGUGUGUGUGUGUGUGUGUGUGUGUGUGUGUGUGUGUGUGUGUGUGUGUGUGUGUGUGUGUGUGUGUGUGUGUGUGUGUGUGUGUGUGUGUGUGUGUGUGUGUAUCAUCUCUACGAUUUUUCUCUUCCCCCAUAGGCUUCCUGAUCCUUUGCUAAUUCAACUUCUAAUUGUCCCCGCCCCCUCCACCGUGGCAGCCUAGCGCUUCACGUAUGGAUCAGCUCGCGCUCACGUCCCAGAGGCAAUGGAGCCAAUUAACCAUGAGAGAGGGGGGGGGGGGGGGGGGGAGGG